UACGUAGGGUGCAAGCGUUAAUCGGAAUUACUGGGCGUAAAGCGUGCGCAGGCGGCUUUGCAGGACAGAUGUGAAAUCCCCGGGCUCAACCUGGGAACUGCAUUUGUGACUGCAUGGCUGGAGUGCGGCAGAGGGGGAUGGAAUUCCGCGUGUAGCAGUGAAAUGCGUAGAUAUGCGGAGGAACACCGAUGGCGAAGGCAAUCCCCUGGGCCUGCACUGACGCUCAUGCACGAAAGCGUGGGGAGCAAACAGG
rnacentral:rRNA from 1 species